UAUAUUGCGAAGCGGAACGUAACCCUGAAGUGACAUUUGAUAACGAGACGUCAACUUUAUAUUGUGAAACGGAACGCAACCGUGAAGUGUCAUUUGACAAUGGCAAACAAGAUGGCGACUACACGUCAACAACAGGUGAUGUACUGAGCGUCGAUAAACGCAUGACGGGUACAAGAAAACCUAUGAAAAUAAUGAAAAUUGCUGGUAAGGAACUGAGUGCGCUUAUUGAUACCGGCAGUGAUGUUAAUCUAAUGUCGUGGCAGUGCUAUAAAAGCUUAACUGGGUGCAAAUACGAUGACUGUGACGUGGUGUUGACGGGACUCGGCUCGACGAGAAUUCGUGCGCUUGGGCAAAUAAUAACAUCAGUGUCUGUGGACGACGUCUGUUAUAGAGACAUUACGUUUUAUAUAGUGCAAAAUAACGCUAUACCUUGUUCUGUUAUCAUUGGGCAACAAUUUUUACAGCACACAGUUAUGGACGUGAGGUGUCGCCGGGAGUGCAGCGAGCAGUGGGUGAGUUGGUGACGUCAUAUCAACCGGUAAAGACGAGGGAAGCUCCCAUCAAGCUCAAACUACACCUGAAAGAUGAUAUCCCUGUAGCGCAGCGACCGCGUCGUGUGGCGUUAAAGGAACAGAUUGAAAUUGAUGCUCAAGUAAAACAGUGGUUACAGGAUGGAAUUAUCCGCCAGAGGAUGAACAACAAGCGGUGCAGCGGUUGGAACGAGUGUUGAGAAGAGCUUCCGAAUAUGGCCUGGAUAUUAAUUGGAAAAAGAGUCAGCUUGUGGUGAAGAGUGUUGAAUACUUGGGGCAUGUUAUUGGAUGUGGAGAGAUACGACCAUCGCCCGAGAAGACGCAGGUAGUCAGGAGAUAUCCAGAGCCAAAAGAUUUAAAACAGCUGCACAGCUUUGUUGGAUUAUGCUCAUAUUUCAGGAAGUUUGUGGAGAAUUUUGCCAUUGUGGCGAAGCCAUUAACAGACUUAUUAAAGAAGAAUGUUCAAUUUGAGUUUAGUGAUGAGCAUAGAAAGAG